GGGUGAUUAGCUCAGCUGGGAGAGCACCUCCCUUACAAGGAGGGGGUCGCCCUUACAAGGAGGGGGUCGGCGGUUCGAUCCCGUCAUCACCCACCA
rnacentral:tRNA from 1 species